GUAGUCCACGCCGUAAACGAUGUCGACUUGGAGGUUGUUCCCUUGAGGAGUGGCUUCCGGAGCUAACGCGUUAAGUCGACCGCCUGGGGAGUACGGCCGCAAGGUUAAAACUCAAAUGAAUUGACGGGGGCCCGCACAAGCGGUGGAGCAUGUGGUUUAAUUCGAUGCAACGCGAAGAACCUUACCUACUCUUGACAUCCAGAGAACUUAGCAGAGAUGCUUUGGUGCCUUCGGGAACUCUGAGACAGGUGCUGCAUGGCUGUCGUCAGCUCGUGUUGUGAAAUGUUGGGUUAAGUCCCGCAACGAGCGCAACCCUUAUCCUUUGUUGCCAGCGGUUAGGCCGGGAACUCAAAGGAGACUGCCAGUGAUAAACUGGAGGAAGGUGGGGAUGACGUCAAGUCAUCAUGGCCCUUACGAGUAGGGCUACACACGUGCUACAAUGGCGCAUACAAAGAGAAGCGACCUCGCGAGAGCAAGCGGACCUCAUAAAGUGCGUCGUAGUCCGGAUUGGAGUCUGCAGCUCGACUCCAUGAAGUCGGAAUCGCUAGUAAUCGUAGAUCAGAAUGCUACGGUGAAUACGUUCCCGGGCCUUGUACACACCGCCCGUCACACCAUGGGAGUGGGUUGCAAAAGAAGUAGGUAGCUUAACCUUCGGGAGGGCGCUUACCACUUUGUGAUUCAUGACUGGGG
rnacentral:rRNA from 1 species